UCUUGGGAAGCUACAGGAGAGAGGAGCUGUUUGGUAAACAAUCUGCAUUUCUGUCAUCUAAACUACUCAAGAUGUGGUAGGCCAUCCAUGUCAGUCUGUGAGCAGACAAGUGAGAAAAUAGUUUGAGAAGCCCUACCUGCCACAGGUCCUCUGUCUUCCCCACAAGACUGCAGGCAUCAAGAGGGCAGGUCCCUAUCUAAAUUCUUCAAGGCAGAGCUGGACCCUUAGCUGCUCUACUGCUAAAAGAUAUACCAUCCCUAUAAAGCUUUUAAUGGAGGAAAUGACUUCAUCAGGCUCAAGUCAAGAGAUAUUGCCGUGGAAACGUCAAUUCCCCAAGCCAAGAAGACCCUGUUUCCCAGAAGCUGCUUCUACAGACUCUAGAAUAUAGAUGAGCCUGGCCCAAUCACACACUAUAUCUUGACCCAGUGGAUUUGCAGCAUACCUGCAUUGGAGAAAAAUGAAACAUCUGCUAAGCUUCAUUGCCUCUGAGAGAAAGAGACAGAGAAACAAACAGGGACACGGUAUGUCUAAAGUUUUCUCUUUGCUCCUGAACGGAAGGUAAAGACCGUGUGUUUCAAGGAUGGAAGUCCUGAAUACCUGCAGGCUACAUUGUUCAAGGGGAGGGAUGAAGGCUGAGAGCUACAGAGGUUAAAGACUGGCUUCUGCCUAGCUAGUGGUUCCCCAGAGCUGAAGAGAAAUAUGGGUUGGAGCCCUUAUGGAGCUCUGGUCCCGUCUGAGCCUGGUGCUCUGGGUCACCUCAGAGUGGGCCUGCUGCAUGACCGACUAUGGGACUGAUGAGGCUCUGCCAAGGUUCUCAAACCCAGUUUGAGGGCAAACUGAGAACUCAUCUCAUUAUGCUUGGUUAAUACUGGUUUCAACCAAAUUUAAUUUCACUUUGAAAAAUAAUUAUGACAUUUCAUACUUAAGAGAUAUUGGGCAUUGCUACCUGUUACAUAAAUGGUACUGUGAUAAAUAGUCCUACAUAAAAGUGUCUCUCUAUUUAUUACUAUUUAUUUGAACAGAUUUCUAGAGAUAGGUUAAAGGAUAUAAGUAUUUUGCCAUCCUUUAUAUAAAUUGAUGCUUUUGAACUGGGGUGUUGGAGAAGAUGCUUGAGAGUCCCUUGGACUGCAAGGAGAUCCAACCAGUCCAUCCUAAAGGAGAUCAGUCCUGAAUAUUCAUUGGAAGG